rnacentral:rRNA from 1 species
GGCGGCGUGCCUAACACAUGCAAGUCGAACGGGACUAUCAAGUGAUGUUUCGGACUGAACUUUUAGUUAGUGGCGGACGGGUGAGUAACGCGUGGACAACCUGCCUCUCACUGGGGGGAUAGCAGCUGGAAACGGCUGGUAAUACCGCAUGCGUUCAAUGUGCCGCAUGACACAUUGAAGAAAGAUUUAUCGGUGAGAGAUGGGUCCGCGUCUGAUUAGCCAGUUGGCGGGGUAACGGCCCACCAAAGCGACGAUCAGUAGCCGGCCUGAGAGGGCGGACGGCCACAUUGGGACUGAGACACGGCCCAGACUCCUACGGGAGGCAGCAGUGGGGGAUAUUGCACAAUGGGCGCAAGCCUGAUGCAGCGACGCCCGCGUGAGUGAAGAAGUAUUUCGGUAUGUAAAGCUCUAUCAGCAGGGAAGGAAGGCCCGCAAGGGAGAUGACGGUACCUGACUAAGAAGCCCCGGCUAACUACGUGCCAGCCGCAGC